AGUGGCGAAAGGGGCAGUAAGGCGUGGGUAACCUACCCUGGGGACCGGGAUAGCCUCUCUAACGGGAGGGUAAUACCGGGCGAGGUAGCUGAGGCGCAUGUUUCGGUUACGAAAUGAGUUUCGCCUUGGGAGGGGCUCACGUGGUAUUAGCUAGUUGGUGGGGUAACGGCCCACCAAGGCCAAGAUGCCUAGCAGGUGUGAGAGCACGACCUGCGCCACUGGCACUGAGACACUGGCCAGACUCCUACGGGAGGCUGCAGUCGAGGAUCUUCGGCAAUGGGCGCAAGCCUGACCGAGCGACGCCGCGUGUGCGAUGAAGGCCUUCGGGUUGUAAAGCACUGUCGAGGGGGAGGAAGACCCGCAAGGGUUUGACCUAUCCCUGGAGGAAGCACGGGCUAAGUUCGUGCCAGCAGCCGCGGUAAGACGAACCGUGCGAACGUUGUUCGGAUUCACUGGGCUUAAAGGGCGCGUAGGCGGCUUGCCAAGUCAGGGGUGAAAUCUUUCGGCUCAACCGGAAAAUUGCUUUUGAUACUGGCAAGCUGGAGGGAGGUAGGGGCAGAUGGAACUUCCGGUGGAGCGGUGAAAUGCGUAGAUAUCGGAAGGAACGCCGGUGGCGAAAGCGAUCUGCUGGAUCUUCACUGACGCUGAAGCGCGAAAGCCAGGGGAGCAAACGGGAUUAGAUACCCCGGUAGUCCUGGCC
rnacentral:rRNA from 1 species